rnacentral:tRNA from 4 species
GCGGGGAUGGCGAAAUUGGCAGACGCGCAGUCUUGAGGAGGCUGUGGAGUAAUCCGUGGAGGUUCAAGUCCUCUUCCCCGCACUA